UACGGGGGGGGCAAGCGUUGUUCGGAAUUACUGGGCGUAAAGGGCGCGUAGGCGGCUUGGCAAGUCGGAUGUGAAAUCCCUCGGCUCAACCAAGGAAGUGCAUCCGAAACUGCUGAGCUUGAGUACUUAAGAGGAUCGCGGAAUUCCCGGUGUAGAGGUGAAAUUCGUAGAUAUCGGGAGGAACACCAGUGGCGAAGGCGGCGAUCUGGGAAGAUACUGACGCUGAGGUGCGAAAGCGUGGGGAGCAAACAGG
rnacentral:rRNA from 1 species